rnacentral:rRNA from 1 species
AACGAACGCUGGCGGCAGGCCUAACACAUGCAAGUCGAGCGAAGCCUUCGGGCUUAGCGGCGGACGGGGGAGUAACGCGUGGGAACGUGCCCUUUGGUACGGAAUAGCCCCGGGAAACUGGGAGUAAUACCGUCAGUGCCCUUCGGGGGAAAGAUUUAUCGCCAAAGGAUCGGCCCGCGUUGGAUUAGGUAGUUGGUGGGGUAAUGGCCUACCAAGCCGACGAUCCAUAGCUGGUUUGGGAGGAUGAUCAGCCACACUGGGACUGAGACACGGCCCAGACUCCUACGGGAGGCAGCAGUGGGGAAUCUUAGACAAUGGGGGAAACCCUGAUCUAGCCAUGCCGCGUGAUCGAUGAAGGCCUUAGGGUUGUAAAGAUCUUUCAGUGGGGAAGAUAAUGACUGUACCCACAGAAGAAGCCCCGGCUAACUCCGUGCCAGCAGCCGCCGUAAUAC